rnacentral:rRNA from 1 species
AUUGAACGCUGGCGGCAGGCCUAACACAUGCAAGUCGAACGAGUGGCGGACGGGUGAGUAAUGUCUGGGAAACUGCCUGAUGGAGGGGGAUAACUACUGGAAACGGUAGCUAAUACCGCAUACCAUCAGAUGGGCCCAGAUGGGAUUAGCUUGUUGGGGGGGUAACGGCUCACCAAGGCGACGAGCCCUAGCUGGUCUGAGAGGAUGACCGGCCACACUGGGACUGAGACACGGCCCAGACUCCUACGGGAGGCAGCAGUGGGGAAUAUUCGACAAUGGGCGAAAGCCUGAUGCAGCAAUGCCGCGUGUAUGAAGAAGGCCUUCGGGUUGUAAAGUACUUUCAGCGGGGAGGCGUUACCCGAAGAAGAAGCACCGGCUAACUCCGUGCCAGCAGCCGCGGUAAUAC